UACGAAGGGAGCUAGCGUUGUUCGGAAUCACUGGGCGUAAAGCGCACGUAGGCGGACGUGUCAGUCAGGGGUGAAAUCCCGGAGCUCAACUUCGGAACUGCCUUUGAUACAGCACGUCUUGAGUCCGGAAGAGGUGGGUGGAAUUCCUAGUGUAGAGAUGAAAUUCGUAGAUAUUAGGAAGAACACCGGUGGCGAAGGCGGCCCACUGGUCCGGUACUGACGCUGAGGUGCGAAAGCGUGGGGAGCAAACAGG
rnacentral:rRNA from 1 species